CUUCCCUACUGCAAGGUGCAAGAGCUGCAGAGAGCAGAACAGACUGAUAUUGAGUGGAAUGUCUGCAUUUUCCUCUCAGACUUGUGUGAGAGAAGAGCAAAACCUUUAACAGAGGAUGGGAUCCAGAGCAGUCGCUGGCUACAGCGAUACAAAAGAAAACACACCACAAAAGAAACGUUUGCACAAUCUGCUUGCAAGCACACUGCUCCUGUUGUGUGUUUCUGCCCAGCUGGCCCCCAAAAUACAGGUACACUUGGCUUCAUGAAUACAUACAUACAUCUCUGGACAUAUAGUGACACAAGACACCACUGGCAAUUUCAGCAUGUCAAGAUUUUUUGAAUGGG